rnacentral:rRNA from 1 species
GACGGGGACCCGCACAAGCGGUGGAGCAUGUGGUUUAAUUCGAAGCAACGCGAAGAACCUUACCAGGUCUUGACAUCCCCCUGACGCAUCCGUAAAAGGAUGGUUCCUUUCAGGACAGGGGAGACAGGUGGUGCAUGGUUGUCGUCAGCUCGUGUCGUGAGAUGUUGGGUUAAGUCCCGCAACGAGCGCAACCCUUACCUUCAGUAGCCAGCGGGAGAGCCGGGCACUCUGGAGGGACUGCCGGGGACAACCCGGAGGAAGGUGGGGAUGACGUCAAAUCAUCAUGCCCCUUAUGAUCUGGGCUACACACGUGCUACAAUGGUGGGAACAGAGUGAAGCGAACCCGCGAGGGGGAGCAAACCACAAAAAAACCAUCCCAGUUCGGAUUGCAGUCUGCAACUCGACUGCAUGAAGCUGGAAUCGCUAGUAAUCGCGGAUCAGAAUGCCGCGGUGAAUACGUUCCCGGGUCUUGUACACACCGCCCGUCACACCAUGGGAGUUGGAUAUGCCCGAAGUCAGUGACCCAACCGCAAGGAGGGAGCUGCCGAAGGUGGAGCCGAUGACUGGGGUGAAGUCGUAACAAGGUAGCCGUAUCGGCA